CCCUUAGAUGUUCUGGGCCGCACACGCGCUACACUGAAGGAGGCAGCGUGUACUCCUGGAUCGAAAGAUUUGGGUAACCCGCGAAUCUCCUUCGUGCUAGGGAUUGAGGUUUGCAAUUAUCCUUCAUGACCGAGGAAUUCCCAGUAAGUGCAAGUCAUAAGCUUGCGCUGACUACGUCCCUGCCCUUUGUACACACCGCCCGUCGCUACUACCGAUUGAAUGAUUUAGUGAGGACUUCGGACUGGGACCGAUGCGGCUUUCGGGCUGCGUCGGUAUUCUGGAAAGAUGUCCAAACUGUAUCAUUUAGAGGAAGUAAAAGUCGUAACA
rnacentral:rRNA from 1 species